UUCACGAUCUCUAUCAACAAAAUUUUAAAGACGCCGGCGAGGACACAUGGCGGCCGGAGACGGCGACGAGUGGUCCCUAGCGUCAGACGCUACGCCGUCGUACCGGUACCAGUGGGACGUGUUCCUCAGCUUCAGAGGCGAGGACACGCGCCACGGCUUCACCGACCGCCUCUACAACGACCUAGUUCGGAACGGCGUCCGGACCUUCCGCGACGACGAGGAGCUGCCGCGCGGCGAGGAGAUCGCGCCGGGCCUAAUCGCCGCCAUCCAAGACUCGGCGGCUUCGAUCGCCGUCAUAUCGGAGAACUACGCCUCUUCGAAAUGGUGCCUGGAAGAGCUCGCGACGAUUUUGGAAUGCAAGCGCCUCAUGCUUCCGGUGUUCUACGAAGUCGAUCCCUCCGAUGUACGGAGACAGGGCGGCGCGUUUGAGCGGGAUUUCCGGAACCACCAGAUGACGGUGGACGCCGGUAAGAUUCUCCGGUGGAGGGAAGCCAUGACCAAAGCCGGUAAUAAAUCCGGUUGGGAUUCCAGAGUCUGGGAUGAGCCUACACUAAUCCAGUCUCUGGUGAAGAAGGUUUUGAGUAAGCUAAACAAUACACCUUUAGGCGUAGCAAAAUAUCAAGUUGGACUGAAUUCUCGUGUGGAUGAGCUGCUGAGGAAGUUGGAUGUUAAAGGCAAUGGAGUUCGAGUGCUAGGGUUAUAUGGAAUGGGAGGGAUCGGGAAGACCACUCUCGCCAAAGCUUUGUUUAAUAAGCUCGUCUUCCAUUUCAAGAAGCGCAGCUUUGUUUCAAAUGUUAGAGAAAUUUCUCGCGAGUCUGAUGGUUUGAUAACUCUCCAAAGCAAAUUGAUCGGAGAUCUUAAAAGCAAAUUCGUCGGAGAUCUUAAUUCGGACGUUUUGUCGACCAUACCUGACAUUGCGGUAGGUAUUCGUAAGAUCAAGCAGUCUAUUGAGAGUGCGCCAGUUGUUGUGUUCUUAGAUGAUGUGGAUAACAUAAAGCAACUUCAAGUGCUUGCUGUUAGGAAAGACUGGUUUUAUGAAGGGAGCAGAAUCAUCAUCACCACUAGAGAUAUGCAGGUUUUGAUUGGAAAUGUUGAUGAAACUGUUGAGGUUAAGGAGCUUUCAUUCCCGGAAUCACUACAACUCUUUAGUUACCAUGCUUUUGGAAGAGAGGAGCCUAGUAAAAAUUUUAAGGAUAUUUCUGAGAAAAUUGUUUCACUCACCAAUGGUCUUCCUCUUGGUUUGGAAGUCUUUGGCUCUUUUCUGUUCUAUAAGAAAAGGUUAAGGGAUUGGGAGGAUGCAUUGCAAAAGCUAGAGCAAAUUCGCCCCGGGGAGGUUCAAGAUGUGCUGGAAAUAAGUUUCAAUGCUCUGGAUGAACAGGAAAAGCGCAUAUUUCUUGACUUGUCUUGUCUCUUUGUUGACAAGAACUUUAAGAGGGAAGAUGCAAUUGACAUAUUUAAUGGUUGCGGCUUCAGUGCUGAAACAGCAAUAACAGAUCUCACGGCUAAAUCUCUUGUUAAGAUCAUUAAUGGAAAUGCUUUAUGGAUGCAUGAUCAACUCAGAGAUAUGGGGAGACAAAUUGUUCACCGCGAAAGCUACAGAGAUCCAAGUGAGCACAGUAGGCUCUGGGAUUAUCAUGAAAUCACGAAUAUAUUGAAGAAUCUAAAGGGCACAAAAAUGAUUGAGGGCAUCACCAUUGACUUUGAAAAGAAGGAUGAUCUAGCUUCUCAGAAAGUACUACAGGUCAACUUGCAGAAAAGGUAUAGAUCGGCAUCUGCAAUUGCACACUUGAAGCAAUCAUAUAACAGGCAUUUUGGCCAUGCUGCUGGGGAAGAAGAUGGAAUACUCAACACCAGAGCUUUUAAAGCUAUGACCAAUCUAAGACUUCUUCGGAUCAAUUAUGCUGAAUUGCUUGGUGAUUUCAAGUUUUUUCCUGCUGAAAUGAAGUGGCUGCAGUGGAAAGGUUGCCCUUUAAAAUGUAUUCCUUCUGAGUUUUGGCAUCGUGGUAUUGCUGUUCUUGAUCUGUCUGAUAGUGAUAUUACACAUGUAUGGAACAAUAAGCGAUUGGAUAGCUUCCGGUAUAAGAUGGCCGAGAAGCUACAUGUUUUGAACCUCAGUAAUUGUUACUUUCUUGAGGAACUCCCUGACUUAACUGGCAUUCCCUUGGAGAAACUGAAUCUUGAGAAUUGCAAAAAACUGGUUAAGAUUCAUCCCUCAAUUGGAAACUUGAGCACAUUGGUCUACCUGAACCUUCAUGGCUGCGAGAAUCUUAUGUUGUUUCCAAAUGAUGUCUCUGGCUUGAAACAUCUUGAAAAACUUAUCUUCUCUGAUUGUUCCAGUCUAAGUGAAUUACCGGAGGACUUGAGUGGGCUGAAAUCCUUGAAAGAGUUACUUGUAAAUGGGACAUUGAUAGUGACACUUCCCAAGUCUGUUUUUCGCUUAAAAAUGUUGGAAAUUUUCAACUUAGAUAACUGCAGCCGAUUGAGGGUGCUGCCUGAAUCCAUAGGGAGCCUGAAUUCUCUUAGACAGCUUUCCUUAAACAGAUCAGCUUUACGGGAAAUGCCUGAAUCUGUCAGAAUGCUGACAAACCUAGAGACACUAAGUUUGAGAUAUUGCGGAUCAUUGUCUUCCAUUCCCAACACUGUUGGCGAUCUGAAAUCUUUACUUGAACUGUACCUUGAUGGAACCUCAAUCAAUGGAUUGCCAGAAUCUGUAGGCUCCUUAAAUCAUUUGAAGCACCUUAGGGUCAGCUGUUGUAAGAAUCUGACCGAAUUGCCAAAUUCUAUAGGCAGAUUAUCAUCUCUAAUUUGGCUCUGUAUUAAUGAAACUUCAAUCUGUGAAGUACCUGAUGAAUUGGGAUCUUUGAAGAACCUUGAAAAGCUAGAGAUGAGGAAUUGUACUUCUAUCAAAUCAUUACCAGACUCAAUAGGGAAUCUUUUGAGUCUAACCAGUUUGGCCCUGGAUUACACCUCCAUAGAGGAGUUGCCAGAAUCUAUAGGCUCUUUGGAAAGGCUUUGGGCACUAAAUCUGAAUAACUGUUCAAACCUCCAGAGGUUGCCAUCUUCAAUUGGGAAUCUGAAAAAUUUGUGUUACUUCUAUAUGGUAAACACUGCAGUCACUGAAUUGCCCAAUGAAAUUGGGAUGCUUUCAAGCUUAAAAAUUUUGAAAAUGCAGAAGAAUCCUCAGCCCUCUCAGGCCAAUGACAAGAGAGAGAUCACUCUUCCAGAAUCAUUUUCAAAUCUCUCAUCAUUGGAAGAUCUGGAUGCUAGUGCAUGGAAAAUUUCUGGUAAAAUUUUUGAUCACUUUGAGAAAAUGUCCUCAUUGGAUACUCUUAACCUUGGCCACAACAAUUUUUGGAGCCUCUCUUGUAGCAUGAAGGGGCUCACUGUUCUCAAGAAAUUGAUUUUACCUGAUUGCAAAGAGCUCAAGUCUCUCCCGCCACUCCCUUCAAGUUUGACAGACUUGAAUGUUGCAAACUGUUCUUCACUGGAACAGAUAUCUGAUCUAUCAAAUCUGGGGAGUUUGCGAGAACUUCGACUUUCUAAUUGCAAAAAGAUAACAGAUAUUCCUGGUCUAGAAAGCUUGAAAUCAUUGAGAUGGUUGUACACAGUUGGUUGCAAUGCAUGUUUACCAUCCCUGAAACGAAGAAUUUCUAAGGACACACUAAGACAUAUGCGCUAUUUAGGCGUUCCGGGGAGUGAGAUUCCAGAAUGGCUUGUUCAAGAACUGCCUAGUUUUUCCCCACGAAAAAACCGAAACCUCAAGGGGGUGCUCAUUGGUGUUGUUGUCUCCCUCGACCAAGAAGUACAGGAUAGCUUCAGAGAUAAAGUCUCCGUGAUUAUGGACGUCCAAGCAAAGAUAAUCAGACAGGGCCAAGCCAUCCUCACUACCACUCUGAACUUAUCGGGGGUUCCUGACACCAAUGACGACCAGCUCUACUUGUGUAGAUUUCAUGAAACUAACAACGUUGUGUUCAUGUUGCAAGAGGGGGACAAGUUGCAGGUGGCAAUGCGAGAGCCGCCACGUUUCAGAGGGCUGGAACUGAAGAAGUAUGGGAUGUGCUUGGUUUAUGAGUACGAGGAUGAUCUUGAUGAGAGGGAUGAAGAAUUGUUUGAUGAAUCUCACCAAUCUGUGUCAAAGAAACUGGCAAACUUCUUAAAUGCUCUGUGACCAUUUUGCUGCUGGCUUGCUUUAGGAUACUUCAUCUGGGCAAAUGUUCAUCAUUGUUGUAACUUGUAAGUCAGGUGCUAUUCAUUCAUAUCGGAAGAUUAGUUCAUUGGAACAUACUUGGUAAGCACCUUGGGAAGUUGGGCUAACCAAAAUUUAUUUCUAUGAAUAAUAUUAUUUCUUCCUUCAUAAUGUUGCAAAAAUUCAUCUUUGAGUUCCAAUUUUCUCUAAUAGGAAUUGGACAUUCUUAGAUAUUAUGGAGGUUGUUCUAGAACUUAUGUUAUUAGCAUACUCUAACUUUUUAGCUGGACCAUUUUCCCAAAAAUUCUUCAGGAAAAAUUCAUAUUUUCGCUAAUAUCAUUAUACAACCAGUAUU